rnacentral:rRNA from 1 species
GAUGAACGCUGGCGGCGUGCCUAAUACAUGCAAGUCGAGCGAACGGACGAGAAGCUUGCUUCUCUGAUGUUAGCGGCGGACGGGUGAGUAACACGUGUAUAACCUACCUAUAUUACUGGGAUAAUUUCGGGAAACCGGAGCUAAUACCGGAUAAUAUUUUGAACCGCAUGGUUCAAAAGUGAAAGACGGUCUUGCUGUCACUUAUAGCUGGUUCCGUGCUGCAUUAUCUAGUUGGUAAGGUAACGGCUUACCAAGGCAACGAUGCAUAGCCGACCUGAGAGGGUGAUCGCCCACACUGGAACUGAGACACGGUCCAGACUCCUACGGGAGGCAGCAGUAGGGAAUCUUCGGCAAUGGGCGAAAACCUGACGGAGCAACGCCGCGUGAGUGAUGAAGGUCUUCGGAUCGUAAAGCUCUGUUAUUGGGGAAGAACAGAUUUGUAAGUAGCUGUGCACAUCGUGACGGUACCUAAUCAGAAAGCAACGGCUAACUACGUG